rnacentral:rRNA from 1 species
GAAGAACGCUGGCGGCGUGCCUAAUACAUGCAAGUCGAGCGAAUGGAUUAAGAGCUUGCUCUUAUGAAGUUAGCGGCGGACGGGUGAGUAACACGUGGGUAACCUGCCCAUAAGACUGGGAUAACUCCGGGAAACCGGGGCUAAUACCGGAUAAACAUUUUGAACCGCAUGGUUCGAAAUUGAAAGGCGGCUUCGGCUGUCACUUAUGGAUGGACCCGCGUCGCAUUAGCUAGUUGGUGAGGUAACGGCUCACCAAGGCAACGAUGCGUAGCCGAACUGGGAGGGUGAUCGGCCACACUGGGACUGAGACACGGCCCAGACUCCUACGGGAGGCAGCAGUAGGGAAUCUUCCGCAAUGGACGAAAGUCUGACGGAGCAACGCCGCGUGAGUGAUGAAGGCUUUCGGGUCGUAAAACUCUGUUGUUAGGGAAGAACAAGUGCUAGUUGAAUAAGCUGGCACCUUGACGGUACCUAACCAGAAAGCCACGGCUAACUACGUGCCAGCAGCCGCAGUAA